rnacentral:lncRNA from 1 species
GGGGACCCCAUGGAGGCAAGUGGAGGAUGGGAGGGAAAGGGGCAGUACUGGGCGGCGAAACUGACCAAAUUAGGUUAUGUGCAUGUGUGACCAUACCACGACCCGCUACUGUAAAAUUAUGACCAUCGAGAAAGAGGCGGCUGGGGGCACAGUGAGGAGGGACGGAGCCCUUAUCUUUGGUGCUUCUCAGCAAAUAGGGGAGAUGGGAGAGAGGAGAGGGCUCCCUGUCUCCACCGAGGGGGGCAACAGACGGUGACGAGAUCAGACAGUGGUGAGAGAUGCAGGGAAAAGAGCCCCAAGCAGCGCAGGAAUGAGACAGCUAGCAGGGAAAGAGAAGGAGCCAGAGGAGGCAGAGAAGGAGGGGCCCUGGGGAGAGCAUGAUGAAUACGGAGGCGGAGAAUGAGAGAAGAGUCGGAGAGAGGAAAGGAAAGAAGAAGGGAUGAUCAAAUCGGGAGGUGAAACAGCAGAUCACUGAGAAGAGAGGGCUGGGGUGGGUGGGUGGUGGAGCAUCUGUCUAGCACCAGCAGAGUUGGGUUCCAUCCUCAGCACAGAGGGCAGCUGGAAUGAAACGAUGAACUGAUGGACCCCAGGGGAAACAGCAGACGGCCCUGACACGAAGGACGCUCAGCCUUACACAACAAAAAGCAGAGUGCGAAUCACAGUGACAGUGACAUACUGGCCAAAAAAAAAAAAAAAAAAAAAAAACGGUAAUAACGAUUGAGCAUCCUUUAUCCAGAACUCGAAAUGCUCCAAAAUCUUUGAGCACCAAUGUGAUGCCACAAAUGGAAAAUUCCACAUCUGACCUCGCGGGAGGGGUCACAUUCAAAACGUGGGCUCACCGAAAACACUGUAUAAGAUGACCUUCAGUCAUGCAUAUAAGGUGUAUGUGAAACAAAUGAUUUUCCUAUUUAGACAUGUAUCUAAUCUCCAAGGUAUCUCAGUAUGUAUCUGCAAAUAGUCCCCAAUCCAAAAAACAUCCAAAAUCAAACAUUUCUGGAUCUAGGCAUUUCGGAUUAGGGACAUGCAACCAGUACUGGCAAAAUGCAGGGUGAUGGCGCCCUCUGUUGGUGAGACCUGUAGGAAAGUAGAGCCGCCAAAUGGCACGCCCCCUAGAGGGGAACUUGGCAAUAACUAGCAAUACUACAAACAUGUUUCCUCUUCUCUCUGAAGAUACAUUUAGAUACUAAUGUAGCUACUGUAUUAGUAAGGUAUUAGUGUUUCUCAUACACCUGAAACUCAACAAGAACAGGACAACUAACCUUAGAAACCGAGGACAAAACAUAUGAUGGACACAUAUAGAUGGGAAAACCCAUAAAUUUAUAAAAACACACUAAACCUCACAAAUAACCAAGGAAAUGGAAAACAAGACCACAAGAUGCCAUUUUAGAUCCACUCAAUUGACAACAAAUCAGACAAGCCCGUGCUUUGGCACACAUGUGAACUCCCCCGAACCUGGGAAGCUGAGGCCAGAGCAUCACAAGUUCAAGACCAGACUGGGCAACUUAGCAGGAUCCUGUCUCACAACAUAAAAAGGGCUGCGGAUGUAGCCCAGUGGUAGAGUGUCCCUGGGUUCAAUUCCCAGUACUACCCACCACCACCCCAAAAAAUCAAGUGUUGGAAAGAAUGAGGUCAAAAGAAAUUACACAUCCAUUACUGGGAGGAGCUUCAAUGGGUACCACCACUUUAUAAAAGUGACCUUUUAUAAGGGUCACUUUGUGGACCUUCUAUAAAGUUCAAAAAUGUUAUACAGGGUUAGGGGAUGUAGCUUAGUGGUAAAGUGCUUGCUUAGCACAUGCAAAGCCUUGAGUUCAGUCCCUAGCACCACAAAAAUAAUAAUAAAAUAAAAUAAGGCAAAGAACUUGAAUGGACAUCAUCCACAAAAUAUAAACACACACACACACACACACACACACACACACACACACACAUGACAAGAUAUUCAACAUCAUGAGAUAUUAGGAAAAUGCAGGUCAAAACCAGUGAGCUGGGCACAGUGGCACACACCUAUCAUCCCACUGACUUGGGAGGCUCAGGCAAUAGCAAUAUCACAAUAGCAAGCCCCUGUCUCAAAAUAAAAAGAGCUGGGCCUGCAACUCAGCAGUAAAGCACCCUUGAGCUCAAUCCCAGUAACCGCCCCCACACACACACACAAAGACCUUAAAAUCGCAAUGAGAUACUACUUCAUAACCAUUGAAUGAGUAAAAUUAAAAAGAAAAGUAUUGUUGAGAAUGUGGAAAACCAAAAUAAUCCAUGUUCGCUGCUGGUGGGAAUAUAAAAAUGGUUAACCUCUGUGAAACAGUUUGGUGGCUUCUCAAAAAGUGAAACACAAAAUGACCACAUGAUCUAGCAAUUCCACUCCUAGGUAUAUAACCAGAGAGACUGAAAGCAGGGAUUCAAUUAAAUGUUUGUACAUGAAUGCUCAUAGCAACACCAUUCACAAUGACCAAAAGUUGGAAACAGCCCAAAUGUCCAUCAAUAGGUGAAUGAUGAAUAAAUUGUGGUAUAUCCAUAUAGUGGAAUAUUAUUCAAUUAUGAAAAGGAAGGAAGUACUAAUAUGUGUUAAACAUGAAUGAACCUCAAAAAUAUUCAGUGACAGAAGGGGCCAGGGCUGUGGCUCAGUGGUAGAGUGCUCGCCUAGCACAUGCAAGGCCCUGGGUUCGAUCCUCAGCACCACAGAAAAAUAAAUAAAUAAAUAAAUAAAUAAAGAUAUUGUGUCCAACUACAAUUAAAAAAUAAAUAUUUAAAAGGAAAAAAAAUACAUUCGGUGACAGGAGCUAGGUACAAAAAUUCCCACAUUUUUCUGACUCUAUAUCUGAAAUAUCCAGAAGAGGUAAACAUAUAUAAGUAAAAUGCAGAUUUAUAGAUACCAGUUUCUGGGGAGUGAGGGGUAGGGAGUAACUGUUUAAUAGGUACAGAGCUUUUGUGUUUUUGUUUUGCAAGAAAUAUCACAUUUUAUUUAAUUCAAAUACCAUUCUGAGCCCUAUUUCCUCUUUCUUGUGUGUUUCAUUAUAUAUAUAUUUCUGGUGAGGAUGGAACCCCGUGCCUCACAUGUGCCAGACAAGCACUCUACCACUGAGUCCCAGCCCCUCUUGUGUGUAUUGCUUAAAGCAAGCUUUUUAUAUUUUAAAGUUAUAACUAUUAGCAUGUAUUAAUUAUACAAAACAGUGGGUUUCAUUUGACACUGUCAUAGUGUAUAUUACAUCAUAUCCAUCCCGUUUCCUUCUUGUUACUACCCCAGCCCCAGCCCUGAGAUAGAUGGUUCUUUUGGUUGGUUGGUUUCUGUGAUGGAAAUGUUUGUGGACUAAAAUUGUGAUUCUAUAACAUUAUGAAUAUACUCAAUCCUACUGAACUGUUC